GUCUUUAUUAUAGAUCAUAAAGGCUCUGAGAAUAACAAUGUAACCUCCAAAAGGGCUGCGGGCUUUGAGGAAUCUCAGGCAACUCGCUUCCUUCUGCUCAGUGACUCGCUUGGAGCACAGCAAAGCAAGGAAACACUUAGAGCCAAGCUUGAGUUCUGAAUUUCAAAUACAGGGAGUCCAUCUCUUUCUACCCAAUUGUUCCCUAGAAUCAGUAACUAACUCCUUCCCCUUAACGGCACGUACUUCCUACCAAAGCACAAGUGCAAUGGGCUGUCCAUAGCCUCCCCAAAAUAUGUGCACCUUGUGAUAUAAAUUCUGUCACCGAAAGAGACCAGACAAAAUGCAAAACCAAAGUGGAGCCUUUCCUUGAAUUAUAGGUUCUAAAGAGUUUUGGACCCUCUACAAAACCCAAGAGUUAGGAAUUGCCUGGAAGAAGCACAAGCCCUUGUUUUAAAGAGGCAGUUUAAGAAUAAUAGCCAUGCUGAUGCCACACUACGCUAAGGGAGAAUAAUGAACCUAAUAAAACUAUCGAUUUUCCAAUUGCUUUUGCUGCUGGAAACACUGAUUAUGCUAAAUAAAGGGUAGAAUAGUAAAUAGCCACUCUUUUGCAUCCAAUUAAGUGUUCAGAUUAUUUCUCAGAAGUAUUUGUUGAAAAUAGCACUUCUGAUAAUCAUGGGUCCCAAAUAAACAGAGUCAAUUGUGGUGUGGUUCAUGUGUGAGUGUGUGUGUGUGCACACAUGUGUCUUUCUGGAGCUCAUUUUAUGGAGAUCCCCCAUAGCUCCCCAAAUUCCUAUGAGAUGAAAUAAGAAAAAUCACAGUUUCCUAAGACUACAGCUUGGGAUAUCUUUGGAAAUGGUGUGUAUUGAGAACACAGCAUAUGGAAACUAUUUCAUGUUGGCAAUAUCUGUGAUUUAACAUUGCAAACAUUAGAAAUGCAACUGGUUCUUCAGAGCCACCUAAGUCCCUCAUAAUGGCAAUAUUAACUUCUUCUAAAUAAUAAAUUAGCCAGUCAAACUAUGUUGUACAGAAUGUUUGAAGUUUCAUCCUUCUAGUCAAUGUCACAUUUCAAGGCAAAGUCGAUUUAUAUGUAAGUUAAACAAAGUGCUGUCACUAAAAAUUGAGAAUUAUGUCUAAUGCCAAUCAGAAAUGGAAUAAAUAAGUAUUAGAGGAUUUGCAAGUUAAAGCAACCAUAGAAAUGCUAUCAUCAGGAAGGAAAAUGUAUUACCUGCAGAGGUUACACAUAAGACGCUAGAACCCAGAAGAGAAAGAAUCUCUGUAAAUAUUUCCAUUAAGUUAAUCAAGACAGGCAGGAGAAUUGUUUUAAUCCAGAAGGCAGAGGUUGCAGCAAGCCAUCACACCAUUGCACUCCAGGCUGGGUGACAGAUCACGGCUCCAUUUUGGAAAAAAAAGGAAGUUAAUCAGGGUGAGAAUAGGAUGAGUUUUUCACCCACAAAAGGAGAUGAGAUUCACGCAUUCUUUCAACAUGCAUUCCAUCAAUAGUGAGCACCUGCUCUGAGCUAGGCCCGUUCUAGGUCCCAGGAAAUGGGUAACCAACCAGACAUGGCCCCUGAUUUGGAGCUCAUAUUUUAGAGCAGCUAAAUGGACAGUAAACAAGUAAGCAAAUUAAGAUCAUCUUAAAUUGGGGGAAGUUCUUUAGAGAAGCACUUCCAUAAAGCUGAAUCGUGUCAUAGACUAUGACUGCCAGGUGGUAGGGAAGGUAAUAUCUCACCUGCCUGUGGAUAGCAGAGUUUCUGAGGCCUUG
rnacentral:lncRNA from 1 species